rnacentral:rRNA from 1 species
CAGCCGCCGCGGUAAAACCAGCACCUCAAGUGGUCAGGAGGAUUAUUGGGCCUAAAGCAUCCGUAGCCGGCCGUGUAAGUUUUCGGUUAAAUCUAUACGCUCAACGUAUAGGCUGCCGGGAAUACUGCACAGCUAGGGAGUGGGAGAGGUAGACGGUACUCGGUAGGAAGGGGUAAAAUCCUUUGAUCUAUUGAUGACCACCUGUGGCGAAGGCGGUCUACUAGAACACGUCCGACGGUGAGGGAUGAAAGCUGGGGGAGCAAACCGGAUUAGAUACCCGGGUAGUCCCAGCUGUAAACAAUGCAAACUCAGUGAUGCACUGGCUUGUGGCCAGUGCAGUGCCGCAGGGAAGCCGUUAAGUUUGCCGCCUGGGAAGUACGUACGCAAGUAUGAAACUU